UUUCAACUCAGCUGAAGGAAGUGAAUCAUUUCCUAAAAAUGAAAUCGAUUACUAUAGCUUUUUUAUUAAUAAACAUAAUUGGAGUUACCUUGGGGUUAAAAGAUCCCAUCUGCGGUUUACGUCCGGGUGAAGGUUUCUUCAUAUGCAAGAGGGGAGGCCAUGGAGGAUAUGCAUAUAUACCCAAAAAUAAUACAUGUGUAUCCAAUCCCCACUGUCGGAUAGGAAACGGCAAUUUUUUCUUGGAUCUCGCUGCUUGCGAAGCAAAGUGCAAGGAAUAAUAAAAUAAUUAAUAUUUAUACCCGUUACUCGUAGAGUAAAAGGGUAUAUUGUAUUCGUGCAAAAGUAUGUAACAGCUA